rnacentral:lncRNA from 1 species
GCUGCACAGCCCAGAGUACAGUGGAGUGAUCAUAGCUCACUGCCGUCUCCAACUCCUGGACUUAAAUGAUUCUCCCUUCUCAGACUCCUGAGUAGCUGGUACUGGUCUCACUGUCGCCCAGGCUGAAGUGCAGUGGCGUGAUCACGGCUCAUGGCAGCCUCAACCUCUCCAACCUCUCGGGCUCAAGCGAUACUUCCACCUCCACCUCCUGCGUAGCUGGGACUACAGACACCGGAGUGUGAGGUGAUGUGGACCAUCCAUGGAAAGAGAGCCUGCAGCACAGGUGGG